AGUGGCGAACGGGUGAGUAACGCGUGAGAAACCUGCCUUCAUCAGGGGGAUAACACUCCCAACGGGGUGCUAAUACCGCAUGAGACCACGGGAUCGCAUGGUCCUGAGGUCAAAGGUGGCCUCUAUUUAUAAGCUACCGGAUGAAGAUGGUCUCGCGUCCCAUUAGCUAGUUGGCGGGGUAAUGGCCCACCAAGGCGACGAUGGGUAGCUGGUCUGAGAGGAUGGUCAGCCACACUGGGACUGAGAUACAGCCCAGACUCCUACGGGAGGCAGCAGUCGAGAGGCUUCGGCAAUGGGGGAAACCCUGACCGAGCGACGCCGCGUGGGGGAUGAAGGCCCUUGGGUUGUAAACCCCUUUUGUUCGGGAAGAAAUGCGAUCAGGUGAAUAAUCUGGUCGUUUGACGGUACCGGACGAAUAAGCUCCGGCUAACUCCGUGCCAGCAGCCGCGGUAACACGGGGGGAGCAAGCGUUGUUCGGAAUCACUGGGCGUAAAGGGCGUGUAGGCGGUCAGGUAAGUGUGAUGUGAAAUCCCUCGGCUCACCCGAGGACCGGCAUCGCAUACUGCUUGGCUUGAGUACGGGAGAGGAUGUGGGAAUUCCUGGUGUAGCGGUGAAAUGCGUAGAUAUCAGGAGGAACACCGGUGGCGAAGGCGCACAUCUGGCCCGAUACUGACGCUGAGGCGCGAAAGCUAGGGGAGCAAACGGGAUUAGAUACCCCGGUAGUCCUAGCCGUAAACGGUGAUCACUAGGUGUUGGAGGCAUUGACCCCUCCAGUGCCGCAGCUAACGCAUUAAGUGAUCCGCCUGGGGAGUACGGCCGCAAGGUUGAAACUCAAAGGAAUUGACGGGGGCCCGCACAAGCGGUGGAGCAUGUGGUUUAAUUCGACGCAACGCGAAGAACCUUACCCAGACUU
rnacentral:rRNA from 1 species